UUUGCAACCACCCUACUCACCACCCUUGCCUUGGCUGCCACAAGACUUGGGAGAGAGCUACUCUACUCCCACUCUGAUCAAAGAUGGCCGUUGUUCUUGAUGCCUUCAUCUCCGAGCUGGUCGGUACGUUGAAGGACAUGGCUAAAGAGAAGUUGGACUUGUUGUUGGGCCUCCCCGGGGUGAUCCAAAAGCUCCAACGCACUCUCCGCAAGAUCCACUCUGUCCUUCGCGUCGCCGAGAAGCGGCGGAUCGAGGACGAGGACGUCAACGACUGGCUGAUGGAGCUCAAGGAUGUCAUGUACGACGCCGACGACGUCCUCGACGAGUGCCGGAUGGAGGCCGAGAAGUGGACUCCUCGUGACUCCGAUCCGAAGCCGUCCACCUUGUGCGGAUUUCCCAUCUUUGCGUGCUUUCGAGAGGUCAAGUUCAGACAUGAGGUGGGCGACAAAAUUAAGGGUCUCAACGAUCGGUUGGAAGAGAUCUCGGCCCGAAGGUCCAAGCUGCAACUCCAUGUGUCUGCGGCCGAACCAAGGGUGGUUCCUCGAGUUAGUCGCAUAACUUCCCCCGUGAUGGAGUCUGACAUGGUUGGCGAGCGACUGGAGGAGGACGCCAAGGCACUGGUGGAGCAGCUGACAAAGCAAGAUCCGAGUAAGAACGUGGUGGUGCUGGCAAUUGUGGGGAUCGGCGGCAUCGGAAAGACCACCCUCGCUCAGAAGGUGUUCAAUGAUGGUAAAAUCAAAGCCAGCUUCCGCACCACCAUCUGGGUGUGCGUGUCCCAAGAGUUCAGCGAGACGGAUCUUCUCGGAAAUAUCAUCGAAGGUGCUGGUGGAAAAUAUAAUAGAGAACAGAGCAGGAGUCAGCUGGAGCCCUCGGUGGAGGGUAUCCUGAGAGGGAACAAGUUCUUGCUGGUGUUGGAUGAUGUUUGGGAUGCUCGGAUCUGGGACGACUUGCUCCGCAAUCCUUUGCAGGGAGGAGCAGCAGGGAGCAGGGUGCUGGUGACCACCAGAAACGCAGGGAUCGCGAGGCAAAUGAAGGCGGCCCACGUCCACGAGAUGAAGCUGCUGCCUCCGGAGGAUGGCUGGUCCCUCCUGUGCAAGAAGGCGACGAUGAAUGCAGAGGAGGAAAGGGAUGCCCGAGAUCUCAAGGACACAGGCAUGAAGAUUGUUGAGAAAUGCGGAGGGCUUCCCCUGGCCAUCAAGACCAUCGGAGGGGUCCUCCGCGACAGAGGACUCAACAGAAGUGCGUGGGAGGAAGUUCUCCGCAGCGCCGCAUGGUCACGGACCGGGCUUCCCGAAGGUGUGCACGGAGCACUGUACCUGAGCUACCAAGACUUGGCGUCCCAUCUCAGGCAAUGCUUUCUCUACUGUGCCUUGUUCAAAGAAGACUAUGUGUUUCGCAGGUCUGACGUCGUCAGAUUAUGGAUAGCCGAGGGGUUUGUCGAAGCACGAGGAGAUGCCAGCUUGGAGGAAACAGGGGAGCAAUAUUACAUAGAGCUGCUUCGUAGGAGCCUUCUACAAUCGCUGCAACCUUUCAGUCUGGACUACGAUGAAUAUUCCAAGAUGCAUGAUCUGCUGCGAUCGCUCGGCCAUUUCCUAUCGAGAGAUGAGAGCUUGUUCAUUAGUGACGUGCAAAACGAGUGGAGAAGUGGUGCCGCCACGAUGAAGCUGCGUCGGUUGUCGAUUGUGGCCACUGAAACGUGGCUCUGUGAAGAAUAUAGAUGAUCCCUUGAAGAACCUCGUGCGACUUCGAGUCCUGCACCUUACUUGCACAAAUAUUGAUAUUCUACCGUACUACAUCGGAAAUUUGAUACACCUGAGAUACUUGAAUGUGUCUCAUAGUCGUGUAACGGAGCUUCCAGAAAGCAUAUGCAAUCUUACGAAUUUACAGUUUUUGAUCCUUUUUGGAUGCAGACAGUUGACACAGAUCCCCCAGGGUAUAGAUAGGUUAGUCAAUCUAAGGACACUCGAUUGUGGAUAUACACACUUGGAGAGCUUACCAUGUGGAAUAGGAAGGUUGAAGCUCCUCAAUGAACUCGUAGGAUUCGUGGUCAACAAGGCUACUGGUUCGUGCCCAUUGGAAGAAUUAGGCAGCCUCCAGGAGCUCAGAUACCUCUUCAUAGAGAGGUUGGAGAGGGCGUGGCUGGAAGCUGACCCGGGAAGAGAUACGAGCGUCUUUAAGGGUAAACAAAAGCUGAAGAAUCUAUAUUUGCAUUGCUCAUCCACACUGACAUCCGAUGGUCACACGGAGGAAGAGAUUGAAAGAAUGGAGAAGGUGUUGGAUGUGGCACUUCAUCCGCCAUCAUCUGUUGUUUCGCUCAGGUUACAGAAUUUCUUCGGCCUCCGGUACCCCAGCUGGAUGGGGUCUGCAAGCAUCAGUUGGCUUCUUCCAAACAUAAGCCACUUGGAACUAACUAACUGCGAUCAUUGGCCACUGCUUCCACCGCUAGGAAAGCUCCCCAGUUUGGAGUUUCUUUUCGUAGUAGGUGCACGUGCAGUGACCACCAUCGGACCGGAAUUUUUUGGGAGUGAAGCUGCUGCUACUGGUCAUGAACGGGAACGGAAUUCAAAGCGCCCUUCUUCUUCUUCUACUUCUCCUCCUCCGUUGUUUCCGAAACUAAGGCAGCUGGAACUCUGGAAUAUGAAUAACAUGGAAGUGUGGGAUUGGGUAGCGGAAGGUUUUGCUAUGCGUCGCCUCGACAAAUUGGUCCUCAUACGUUGCCCCAAAUUGAAGUCUCUACCGGAAGGCCUGAUCCGACAGGCAACCUCCUUAACCACAUUGUAUCUGAUCGAUGUGUGUGCUCUCAAGUCCAUCAGAGGUUUCCCUUCUGUAAAAGAACUGAGUAUAUGUGGUGACUCAGAUCUGGAGAUUGUUGCUGAUCUCCCUGUACUGGAGCUCUUGAAGUUGGGCACAUUUGGAUCUCGCAUCAAUCAUUUACCAGAGUGGUUGACGGCUUGCCCUGCAUGCUUCACCACACUCCAGAGACUGGACGUGUACGGAACCACCCAACUCCUCCGCAGAUGCCUCCAAAAUGGCGCAGACUGGCCCAUGAUCAAACACUUUCCAAUUUUUUCCAUCAAAGAUGACCGAGGCAAUUAUAUAAACUACAUCAAGCAUUCCGGCACCUUCGAGACAAACCUAGUCGAUGAUAAUGCUGCUUUCGCUGCUGCUGCUGCUGAAGAAGAAGAAGAAGAAGAAGAAGAAGAAAGACAUCAAUGAGCUUUGAGAUAACUUAGCCUUUCAUGCUCACGUCUCCACCAUCUAACGCCUUCUGGUUUUGGAGUGGCAACUCACAAUCAUCUUUUGCCGCUUAUGGCAGGGAGAUCGACAUCAUUCACGAUGUAAUUGGCAGUCAUGUCUAACAUGAUCAUUGCAAAUGGAGCUGACCAUGGACAGUCCGAGACUUUUGAGCGGAAAUGCAGAUCGAGAGGUUGGUUGCGACUCAUUCUACAUUCCCAUGAUAUGGUGAUGAAACUAUUUUGGCUUUCUGUAUAUUAUGGUGAUGAAACUACAUUCCCAAGAUAUGGUGAUGAAACUAUAUAAAUUGAGGAACA